UCUACUGGUUAGAGGUGUUGGACUGACUGGUACAGAAGUUGCAGUGAAUGGAGUUGAGGUGACAUUGGCUGCUGGUGAUGUUGGACUGACUGGUACAGAUGUUGCAGUGAGUGAAGGUGAGGUGAUGUUGGCUGCUGGUGAUGUUGGACUGACUGGUUCAGAAAUUGAGAUGAACGGAGGUGAGGUGAUGUUGGCUGCUGGUGACGUUGGACUCAUUGGUUCAGAAGUUGCAGUGAGUGGAUGGGAGGUGAUGUUGGCUGCUGGUGAUGUUGGACUGAUUGGUUCAGAAGUUGCAGUGAGUGGAGGUGAGGUGAUGUUGGCUGCUG